rnacentral:rRNA from 1 species
AACGAACGCUGGCGGCAGGCCUAACACAUGCAAGUCGAGCGAAGCCUUCGGGCUUAGCGGCGGACGGGUGAGUAACGCGUGGGAACGUGCCCUUUGCUACGGAAUAGCCCCGGGAAACUGGGAGUAAUACCGUAUGUGCCCUUCGGGGGAAAGAUUUAUCGGCAAAGGAUCGGCCCGCGUUGGAUUAGGUAGUUGGUGGGGUAAUGGCCUACCAAGCCGACGAUCCAUAGCUGGUUUGAGAGGAUGAUCAGCCACACUGGGACUGAGACACGGCCCAGACUCCUACGGGAGGCAGCAGUGGGGAAUCUUAGACAAUGGGGGAAACCCUGAACUAGCCAUGCCGCGUGAUCGAUGAAGGCCUUAGGGUUGUAAAGAUCUUUCAGUGGGGAAGAUAAUGACUGUACCCACAGAAGAAGCCCCGGCUAACUCCGUGCCAGCCGCCGCAGUAAAAC